rnacentral:rRNA from 1 species
GUACACACCGCCCGUCACACCAUGGGAGUUGGCUGCACCAGAAGCGGGWWAGCUUAACCUUCGGGAGAGCGCUUGCCACGGUGUGGUCAAUGACUGGGGUGAAGUCGUAACAAGGUAGCCGUAGGUGAACCUGCAGAAGGAUCA